rnacentral:tRNA from 1 species
GCUUUCGUGGUGUAAUGGUUAGCACACUCGGCGUGUAUUCGAAAGGUUCAGGUUCGAGUCCUGGAGAGGGCA